UACGUAGGGUGCGAGCGUUAAUCGGAAUUACUGGGCGUAAAGCGUGCGCAGGCGGUUCGUUAUGUCCGUUGUGAAAGCCCCGGGCUCAACCUGGGAAUGGCAAUGGAAACUGGCGGGCUAGAGUGUGGCAGAGGGGGGUGGAAUUCCGCGUGUAGCAGUGAAAUGCGUAGAUAUGCGGAGGAACACCGAUGGCGAAGGCAAUCCCCUGGACCUGUACUGACGCUCAUGCACGAAAGCGUGGGGAGCAAACAGG
rnacentral:rRNA from 1 species